rnacentral:lncRNA from 1 species
CUCUCUUUGAUACGAAAAGUGCACCCAAAGAUAUCAACAUACGGCUACGCUUUAUAAGUGAUUUCUAUAAUACCUAAAGCUACACUUUUUAAACUAUGCCACAAUUGUGUUUCCUUUUCUCUUAUAAAAACGCAACACGGAGAAAAGCGUAGCCUAUCAAAUAGGCUACGCUUUUCAAAUGUAGCUAAAAAAAAUGUGGCUGGAUGGGUACUUUUCUUGUAGUCUCGUUGCUGUCGCACGAAGGUCUGCGACUCCGAGUUGAGCUCGUGGCGUUGAGGUCUCAUUGUGCUCUCUCUCUCUCUGUGUUAAGGUCUCAUCGUUCUCUCUCACUCUUUGUCCGAGCUCAACGUCCCUCUUCGAGCUCUCUCUGUUUGAGCUCAAAUCACUCGCCGUCACUUCUCAUUCCUCCGUCGCCGCCACUUCCAUUCCUCCAUCGCCGCCGGCAAACACUGCUGUUUCAAUAUAUUUUUGCUUAUUUUGUAAUAAUGUUAAUUCUGAGUUGCUGAGAUAAUGAUUCUAAAUUACUGAUUUUGUUAAUUUUUGCUUAUUCUGUGUUGCUGAUUUUCUGGAGUAAUGUUGCUGAUUUCCUAAAAUAUUGUUGCUGAUUUUGAUUUUCUGAUUUCCUGAGUUAAUUUUAAUAAUGGUUAAUUUAUUUAAUUU